CUGUUGUGAGGGUUAUAAUUGAUAAAUGCAAAUCCACGCGCUUGGUCGAUUGUGUGAAAUAGCGGGUUCCAAUCAAACAUCGCCAACAUAAAACUGGGCAAUGUGUUUGCUACAAACAUUUUACCCGAGGCGAUCAUAUUUGCUC
rnacentral:ncRNA from 1 species